rnacentral:rRNA from 1 species
GCAACCCGCCUAUCAGAGGGGAACAACAGUUAGAAAUGACUGCUAAUACCGCAUAUGCCUUAAUUACCACAUGGUAAUAGAGGGAAAGGAGUAAUCCGCUGAUAGAUGGGCUUGCGUCUGAUUAGAUAGUUGGUAAGGUAACGGCUUACCAAGUCGACGAUCAGUAGCCGGACUGAGAGGUUGAACGGCCACAUUGGGACUGAGAUACGGCCCAGACUCCUACGGGAGGCAGCAGUCGGGAAUAUCGCGCAAAGGAGGAAACUCUGACGCAGCGACGCCGCGUGCAGGAAGAAGGUUUUCGGAUUGUAAACAGCUUUAGACAGGGAAGAAACAAGACAGUACCCGUAGAAUAAGCUCCGGCUAACUACGUGCCAGCAGCCGCGGUAAUACGUAGGGAGCAAGCGUUAUCCGGAUUUAUUGGGUGUAAAGGGUGCGCAGACGGGAAUGCAAGUUGGUUGCGAAAUCCCCUCGGCUCAACCGAGGAAUUGCAACCAAAACUAUUAUUUCUUGAGUGCUGGAGAGAAAAGUGGAAUUCCUAGUGUAGCGUGGAAAUGCGUAGAUAUUAGGAGGAACACCAGUGGCGAAGGCGACUUUUUGGACAGUAACUGACGUUGAGGCACGAAAGUGUGGGGAGCAAACAGGAUUAGAUACCCUGGUAGUCCACACCGUAAACGAUGGAUACUAGGUGCAGGGGAUGAAUAAUCUUCUGUGCCGUCGCAAACGCAGUAAGUAUCCCACCUGGGGAGUACGGCCGCAAGGUUGAAACUCAAAGGAAUUGACGGGGGCCCGCACAAGCAGUGGAGUAUGUGGUUUAAUUCGACGCAACGCGAAGAACCUUACCAGGGCUUGACAUAUACAUGAAAAUCUAAGAGAUUAGAUCCCUCUUCGGAGCAUGUAUACAGGUGGUGCAUGGUUGUCGUCAGCUCGUGUCGUGAGAUGUUGGGUUAAGUCCCGCAACGAGCGCAACCCCUGUUCUUAGUUGCCAGCAUGUAAAGAUGGGAACUCUAAGAAGACUGCCGGUGAUAAAUCGGAGGAAGGUGGGGACGACGUCAAAUCAUCAUGCCCUUUAUGUCCUGGGCUACACACGUACUACAAUGGCUGUAACAAAGGGAAGCGAACCCGCGAGGGGAAGCAAAACCCAUAAAAGCAGUCUCAGUUCGGAUUGAAGGCUGAAAUUCGCCUUCAUGAAGCCGGAAUUGCUAGUAAUGGUAGGUCAGCAUACUGCCGUGAAUACGUUCCCGGGCCUUGUACACACCGCCCGUCACACCAUGAGAGUUGGGGAUACCCGAAGCCUGUGAGCUAACUGUAAAGAGGCAGCAGUCGAAGGUAGAAUCAAUGAUUGGGGUGAA